AGAACGAACGCUGGCGGCAGGCCUAAUACAUGCAAGUCGAACGCACUCUUCGGAGUGAGUGGCAGACGGGUGAGUAACGCGUGGGAACCUUCCCAAUGGUACGGAAUAACUCCGGGAAACCGGUGCUAAUACCGUAUAAGCCCCUCGGGGGAAAGAUUUAUCGCCAUUGGAUGGGCCCGCGUCGGAUUAGCCAGUUGGUAAGGUAAUGGCUUACCAAGGCUACGAUCCGUAGCUGGUCUGAGAGGAUGAUCAGCCACACUGGGACUGAGACACGGCCCAGACUCCACGGGAGCAGCAGUAGGGAAUCUUGGACAAUGGGACGAAAGCCUGAUCCAGCCAUGCCGCGUGAGUGAAGAGGCCUUAGGGUGUAAAGUCUCGUUUGGCGGGACGAUAAGUGGACGGUACCG
rnacentral:rRNA from 1 species